AACGAACGCUGGCGGCGUGGAUAAGACAUGCAAGUCGAACGGGAUUACUUCUGGUAGCAAUACCGGAGGUAAUUUAGUGGCGAACGGGUGCGUAACACGUGGGGAAUCUGCCGAGAAGUGGGGGAGUAGCUCGUCGAAAGGACGAAUUAAUACCGCAUAUGAUCAGCCAAGACAUCUUGGCGACAUCAAAGCCGGGGCAACCUGGCGCUUCUUGAUGACCCCGCGGCCAUCAGCUAGUUGGUGAGGUAACGGCUCACCAAGGCUAUGACGGGUAGCUGGUCUGAGAGGACGACCAGUCACACUGGAACUGAGACACGGUCCAG
rnacentral:rRNA from 1 species